rnacentral:rRNA from 1 species
UACGGAGGUGGCAAGCGUUGUCCGGAAUCAUUGGGCGUAAAGAGCGUGUAGGCGGUCCGUUAAGUCGGCUGUGAAAGUCCAAGGCUCAACCUUGGGAUGCCGGUCGAUACUGCCGGACUAGAGUUCGGAAGAGGCGAGUGGAAUUCCAGGUGUAGCGGUGAAAUGCGUAGAUAUCUGGAGGAACACCGGUGGCGAAGGCGGCAUCCUGGACCAAUUCUGACGCUGAGGAGCGAAAGCCAGGGGAGCAAACGGG